rnacentral:ncRNA from 1 species
CUUAUCAAGAAAGACGGAGGGACGGGCCCUUUGAUGUCUUGGCAACCUUGAAAUGCAAGGUGCUAAAUCCCACUCGAAAUAAGAGAAAGAUGAG